GCCCGCUUGGCAUAGUGGUACUGCGUUUCACUCGUACGAUUUAUGAAUAUGAAAAGAUCCUCGGUUCGAUUCCGAGAGUGGGCA